AGUGAACGCUGGCGGCGUGCCUAACACAUGCAAGUCGAACGAUGAUGGAGAGCUUGCUCUCCUGAUUAGUGGCGCACGGGUGAGUAAUGCAUAGAUAAUGUGCCCCUUAGUUCGGGAUAGCCACUGGAAACGGUGAUUAAUACCGGAUACUCCUUCUUGUCUCAAGGCAAGUCGGGAAAGUUUUUUCGCUAAGGGAUCAGUCUAUGUUCCAUCAGGUAGUUGGUGAGGUAAUGGCUCACCAAGCCUAUGACGGAUAUCUGGUUUGAGAGGAUGAUCAGACACACUGGAACUGAGACACGGUCCAGACUCCUACGGGAGGCAGCAGUGAGGAAUAUUGCACAAUGGAGGAAACUCUGAUGCAGCAACGCCGCGUGGAGGAUGACGCAUUUCGGUGUGUAAACUCCUUCUAUUAGGGAAGAUAAUGACGGUACCUAAUGAAUAAGCACCGGCUAACUCCGUGCCAGCAGCCGCGGUAAUAC
rnacentral:rRNA from 1 species